rnacentral:rRNA from 1 species
AUUGAACGCUGGCGGCAGGCCUAACACAUGCAAGUCGAGCGGCUGACGGGAGCUUGCUCCUUGAUUCAGCGGCGGACGGGUGAGUAAUGCCUAGGAAUCUGCCUGGUAGUGGGGGACAACGUUUCGAAAGGAACGCUAAUACCGCAUACGUCCUACGGGAGAAAGCAGGGGACCUUAGGGCCUUGCGCUAUCAGAUGAGCAUAGGUCGGAUUAGCUAGUUGGUGGGGUAAUGGCUCACCAAGGCGACGAUCCGUAACUGGUCUGAGAGGAUGAUCAGUCACACUGGAACUGAGACACGGUCCAGACUCCUACGGGAGGCAGCAGUGGGGAAUAUUGGACAAUGGGCGAAAGCCUGAUCCAGCCAUGCCGCGUGUGUGAAGAAGGUCUUCGGAUUGUAAAGCACUUUAAGUUGGGAGGAAGGGCAGUAAGUUAAUACCUUGCUGUUUUGACGUUACCGACAGAAUAAGCACCGGCUAACUCUGUGCCAGCAGCCGCCGUAACAC